AAUGGCCGGGACAAAGGGUCGCAAUCCUUCGAAGGUGAGCUAACCCCAAAAACCCGUCCUCAAUUUGGAUUGCAGGCUGCAACUUGCCUGCAUGAAG
rnacentral:ncRNA from 2 species